rnacentral:rRNA from 1 species
GGUUAAGUUAGAAAGGGCGCACGGUGGAUGCCUUGACACUAGGAGUCGAUGAAGGACGGGACUAACGCCGAUAUGCUUCGGGGAGCUGUAAGUAAGCUUUGAUCCGAAGAUUUCCGAAUGGGGAAACCCACCAUACGUAAUGGUAUGGUAUCCUUAUCUGAAUACAUAGGGUAAGGAAGACAGACUCAGGGAACUGAAACAUCUAAGUACCUGGAGGAAGAGAAAGCAAAUGCGAUUUCCUGAGUAGCGGCGAGCGAAACGGAACAUAGCCCAAACCAAGAGGCUUGCCUCUUGGGGUUGUAGGACAUUCUAUACGGAGUUACAAAGGAACGAGGUAGACGAAGCGACCUGGAAAGGUCCGUCGUAGAGGGUAACAACCCCGUAGUCGAAACUUCGUUCUCUCUUGAAUGUAUCCUGAGUACGGCGGAACACGUGAAAUUCCGUCGGAAUCUGGGAGGACCAUCUCCCAAGGCUAAAUACUCCCUAGUGAUCGAUAGUGAACCAGUACCGUGAGGGAAAGGUGAAAAGCACCCCGGAAGGGGAGUGAAAGAGAUCCUGAAACCGUGUGCCUACAAAUAGUCAGAGCCCGUUAAUGGGUGAUGGCGUGCCUUUUGUAGAAUGAACCGGCGAGUUACGAUCCCGUGCGAGGUUAAGCUGAAGAGGCGGAGCCGCAGCGAAAGCGAGUCUGAAUAGGGCGUUUAGUACGUGGUCGUAGACCCGAAACCAGGUGAUCUACCCAUGUCCAGGGUGAAGUUCAGGUAACACUGAAUGGAGGCCCGAACCCACGCACGUUGAAAAGUGCGGGGAUGAGGUGUGGGUAGCGGAGAAAUUCCAAUCGAACCUGGAGAUAGCUGGUUCUCCCCGAAAUAGCUUUAGGGCUAGCCUUAAGUGUAAGAGUCUUGGAGGUAGAGCACUGAUUGGACUAGGGGUCCUCAUCGGAUUACCGAAUUCAGUCAAACUCCGAAUGCCAAUGACUUAUCCUUAGGAGUCAGACUGCGAGUGAUAAGAUCCGUAGUCAAAAGGGAAACAGCCCAGACCGCCAGCUAAGGUCCCAAAGUGUGUAUUAAGUGGAAAAGGAUGUGGAGUUGCUUAGACAACUAGGAUGUUGGCUUAGAAGCAGCCACCAUUUAAAGAGUGCGUAAUAGCUCACUAGUCGAGUGACUCUGCGCCGAAAAUGUACCGGGGCUAAAUACACCACCGAAGCUGCGGAUUGAUACCAAUGGUAUCAGUGGUAGGGGAGCGUUCUAAGGACAGUGAAGUCAGACCGGAAGGACUGGUGGAGUGCUUAGAAGUGAGAAUGCCGGUAUGAGUAGCGAAAGACGGGUGAGAAUCCCGUCCACCGAAUGCCUAAGGUUUCCUGAGGAAGGCUCGUCCGCUCAGGGUUAGUCAGGACCUAAGCCGAGGCCGACAGGCGUAGGCGAUGGACAACAGGUUGAUAUUCCUGUACCACCUCUUUAUCGUUUGAGCAAUGGAGGGACGCAGAAGGAUAGAAGAAGCGUGCGAUUGGUUGUGCACGUCCAAGCAGUUAGGCUGAUAAGUAGGCAAAUCCGCUUAUCGUGAAGGCUGAGCUGUGAUGGGGAAGCUCCUUAUGGAGCGAAGUCUUUGAUUCCCCGCUGCCAAGAAAAGCUUCUAGCGAGAUAAAAGGUGCCUGUACCGCAAACCGACACAGGUAGGCGAGGAGAGAAUCCUAAGGUGUGCGAGAGAACUCUGGUUAAGGAACUCGGCAAAAUGACCCCGUAACUUCGGGAGAAGGGGUGCUUUCUUAACGGAAAGCCGCAGUGAAUAGGCCCAAGCGACUGUUUAGCAAAAACACAGCUCUCUGCGAAGCCGUAAGGCGAAGUAUAGGGGGUGACACCUGCCCGGUGCUGGAAGGUUAAGGAGAGGGGUUAGCGUAAGCGAAGCUCUGAACUGAAGCCCCAGUAAACGGCGGCCGUAACUAUAACGGUCCUAAGGUAGCGAAAUUCCUUGUCGGGUAAGUUCCGACCCGCACGAAAGGUGUAACGAUUUGGGCACUGUCUCAACCAGAGACUCGGUGAAAUUAUAGUACCUGUGAAGAUGCAGGUUACCCGCGACAGGACGGAAAGACCCCGUGGAGCUUUACUGUAGCCUGAUAUUGAAUUUUGGUACAGUUUGUACAGGAUAGGCGGGAGCCUUUGAAACCGGAGCGCUAGCUUCGGUGGAGGCGCUGGUGGGAUACCGCCCUGACUGUAUUGAAAUUCUAACCUACGGGUCUUAUCGACCCGGGAGACAGUGUCAGGUGGGCAGUUUGACUGGGGCGGUCGCCUCCUAAAGUGUAACGGAGGCGCCCAAAGGUUCCCUCAGAAUGGUUGGAAAUCAUUCGUAGAGUGCAAAGGCAUAAGGGAGCUUGACUGCGAGACCUACAAGUCGAGCAGGGACGAAAGUCGGGCUUAGUGAUCCGGUGGUUCCGCAUGGAAGGGCCAUCGCUCAACGGAUAAAAGCUACCCCGGGGAUAACAGGCUUAUCUCCCCCAAGAGUCCACAUCGACGGGGAGGUUUGGCACCUCGAUGUCGGCUCAUCGCAUCCUGGGGCUGUAGUCGGUCCCAAGGGUUGGGCUGUUCGCCCAUUAAAGCGGUACGCGAGCUGGGUUCAGAACGUCGUGAGACAGUUCGGUCCCUAUCCGUCGUGGGCGUAGGAAAUUUGAGAGGAGCUGUCCUUAGUACGAGAGGACCGGGAUGGACGCACCGCUGGUGUACCAGUUGUUCUGCCAAGGGCAUAGCUGGGUAGCUAUGUGCGGAAGGGAUAAGUGCUGAAAGCAUCUAAGCAUGAAGCCCCCCUCAAGAUGAGAUUUCCCAUAGCGUAAGCUAGUAAGAUCCCUGAAAGAUGAUCAGGUUGAUAGGUUCGAGGUGGAAGCAUGGUGACAUGUGGAGCUGACGAAUACUAAUAGAUCGAGGACUUAACCAU